UACGGGGGGAGCAAGCGUUGUUCGGAUUUACUGGGCGUAAAGGGCGCGUAGGCGGCCAGCGCAAGUCAGUUGUGAAAUCUCCGAGCUUAACUCGGAAAGGUCAACUGAUACUGCGCGGCUAGAGUGCAGAAGGGGCAACUGGAAUUCUCGGUGUAGCGGUGAAAUGCGUAGAUAUCGGGAGGAACACCUGUGGCGAAAGCGGCUCACUGGACCACAACUGACGCUGAGGCGCGAAAGCUAGGGGAGCAAACAGG
rnacentral:rRNA from 1 species